AAAUCAGAAGGUAAAUGAAGUAGAUAGGUCGAGAGAAUGCUGUAGGAAGGGUAUGGGCCUGUGAUGUGCCUAA